GGGUCGGCAAGGGCACGUGGCGAGCCCAGCGGUCUGUAAAACCGUAGCGAAAGCUGUGGGGGUUCGACUCCCUCCCGGCCCACCA
rnacentral:tRNA from 1 species